ACGCUCAGGAUACGGAAUGGAACGGCGGGCCGACCCGUGGGCCGGAUACCCUGGCCACGUGCGGGCCCGAGCAAGCGGGUCCGCAAAGCCGACAGCCGUCGCACCAGGGAGAAGCCCAUG
rnacentral:sRNA from 1 species